rnacentral:rRNA from 1 species
AACGAACGCUGGCGGCAGGCCUAACACAUGCAAGUCGAACGCCGUAGCAAUACGGAGUGGCAGACGGGUGAGUAACACGUGGGAACGUACCUUUCGGUUCGGAAUAACUCAGGGAAACUUGAGCUAAUACCGGAUACGUGCGAGAGCAGAAAGAUUUAUCGCCGAAAGAUCGGCCCGCGUCCGAUUAGCUUGUUGGUGAGGUAAUGGCUCACCAAGGCGACGAUCGGUAGCUGGUCUGAGAGGAUGAUCAGCCACACUGGGACUGAGACACGGCCCAGACUCCUACGGGAGGCAGCAGUGGGGAAUAUUGGACAAUGGGCGAAAGCCUGAUCCAGCCAUGCUGCGUGAGUGAUGAAGGCCUUAGGGUUGUAAAGCUCUUUUGUCCGGGAAGAUAAUGACGGUACCGGAAGAAUAAGCCCCGGCUAACUUCGUGCCAGCAGCCGCGGUAAGGAGCUGUCGU